UACGUAGGGUGCAAGCGUUAAUCGGAAUUACUGGGCGUAAAGCGUGCGCAGGCGGUUGUGGAAGAGCGAUGUGAAAUCCCCGGGCUUAACCUGGGAAUGGCAUUGGUGACUGCACGGCUAGAGUGUGUCAGAGGGGGGUAGAAUUCCACGUGUAGCAGUGAAAUGCGUAGAGAUGUGGAGGAAUACCGAUGGCGAAGGCAGCCCCCUGGGAUAACACUGACGCUCAUGCACGAAAGCGUGGGGAGCAAACAGG
rnacentral:rRNA from 1 species